rnacentral:rRNA from 1 species
UACAGAGGGGGCAAGCGUUGUUCGGAAUUACUGGGCGUAAAGGGUGCGUAGGCGGCGUGGAAAGUCAGAUGUGAAAUCCGAGGGCUCAACCCUCGAAUCGCAUCCGAAACUCCCAUGCUAGAGUACUGAAGGGGAGCUUGGAAUUCUCGGUGUAGCAGUGAAAUGCGUAGAUAUCGAAAAGAACGCUCGUGGCGAAGGCGAAGCUCUGGUCAGUAACUGACGCUGAGGCACGAAGGCCAGGGUAGCAAACGGG